rnacentral:rRNA from 1 species
UGCGUAGGUGGUUGUUUAAGUCUGUUGUGAAAGCCCUGGGCUCAACCUGGGAAUUGCAGUGGAUACUGGGCGACUAGAGUGUGGUAGAGGGUAGUGGAAUUCCCGGUGUAGCAGUGAAAUGCGUAGAGAUCGGGAGGAACAUCCAUGGCGAAGGCAGCUACCUGGACCAACACUGACACUGAGGCACGAAAGCAUGGGGAGCGAACA